rnacentral:lncRNA from 1 species
AGAGGCAGCCGACAGCUUGCUGGGAGAUUUCUAAGAAGAAAGCUGGUGGGGUGGCUACUGCUUUCUAGAUUACUCAGUGUGUGACUGGAAACACACUGGUCGCUUUGCACGGUCACAGCCGGCACAGCCUGUAGUCACAGAAUGUUCUGGGCUCACCCUCUUCUCUGGCCUGGGGAAGUGAGGCUCAGCGUAGAGGCUGUACCCACAGGCACAUGACGGUCUGCACCCAGGCCAGGGCUCAGUGAGGAGCCGGAGUGUCCCGGCCUGCCUGGACUCCAGCCGGGACCUCCCACAUGAGGCUCAUUCAUCUAUGCCCAGGAUUCUCAAAGAACCCCGGCCCCAGCCUGCUCUCUGUCAUGUGCUGAGCCCCAAGCUUACCCAUGCCUCCUGCCGUGGGGACCAGAGAAUGAGAAGACCACCAGGGAGACCCGCCCUGGAGACCAUGGUGUGCUGCUGACUCACGAGAAUGACAUCACCAAGUGUGCCCUCUGUCCUGUCACUUGGAGCUCCUGGAAGCACAGAAUGUCCCUCAGCCUGGACACUGCCCCUGGCCUGGGGAGGUAGAUGCUCCCCACCUCCCCUCCUGCCCUAGUGCAGAGGAAAGAAGAUCAAAUCUGGAGUCAGCAGACAUAGGAGUCUAAUCCCUGGUUCUGAUAUAUCUAGGCAGUCAUUGCCUUAGCCACACUCAGCCUUAAUCUCCUGAUCUGCAAAAUGGGGAGAACCACACUAACUUUGCAGUUUGCGGUGAGAGUCAAGGAAACCCACGUGAGAAGUGUCUGGCACUGUGCCUCGCAUGUACUGGAUGUGCAGUCUUGAAGGAAUCCUACGCUUCAUGAAUGAGGAUUUGACAUCUGGCAGAGGUCUUUAUGAACACAUUUAUGAUCAUCCUUCAAAGCAACCACAUGAAAUGGGCCAGGGGCUUGUUCUCUUUUAGCAGACAGACGGGUUGAGUCACCACAAGAUGCUGUUAUGGUUUAAAUGUGUGGAGCUAUAUAUAUACAUACACACAUACACAUGUAUAUAUCAAUCAAGCUAUACUUAUCCCCAAUAACAGAGAGGAAAAAUAUAUUAUUAGAAUAAGAGCCGCAUAUUUUGGAAAACUUACCAUGUGCCAGAGACUGUUCUAAUUAUUUUAUAAACAUGUCUCUUGUGGUUUUCAAGAUAACUAUAGAAGGUAACUAUUAUUACUUUUUAACAAAUGAAAGCAAACCUCAGGUUAAGUGACUGGCCCAAGGUCACACAGCAAGCAGUGACAGAGCUAAGUUGCGCUGGCUCUAAAGACCAUGUGUUAUCAACAGCGUCCUCCUGCCUUCUUAUGAAAUGGAAUCCAUAUCAAACUGCUAAGCUUUGUUUUUAGCAAAUAACAUGACUGUCUGGGCUGUGGGCUUAAGGAACAGUGAGUUUGGGGGCAAAGGUCACCCUCUAAUAGUGCUUCAUAAUAUUUCUCCCAGAGAAAGACUCUGGAGCCAGGCAGAUCUGGAUCCAGAUUCCAGUUCUGCCACUUCCUAGCUGUGUCCUCUCACUGAGCUCUCAGAGGCCUCCUUGGCCCGCAUGCUCAGUGGAGUGUCUGGUUGGCCCCGCAGCCCUUGUGUCCAGAUCUGCUGGGCGACACAGUGCCUGGCUGUGCCCUGCAGAGGCUUUCCUGUCCCUGGCUCCCAUGCUUCCCCUGAGGAGAGCAGGCGAUGGGUGUCAGCUUAUGUGAGCCCUUUGGUUGCAUGGAUCGGGUGAAAAACAGACAGAGCUGAAGAAUUUGAACUGAGAUGUCAAUUGUGGAGCAGGAUUACUCAUAGCAGCCACCGCCCACUAGGCCAGAACACCUUCGUUUAAACAAACCAACAUCCCAGGGGACAGUGCCUGUUGAGCAAGCUGCUGAGAGCCCUUCACUAGUGCUGAGUCCUCAGGCCUGCAGGGGACACUCCACAUCUGACCCUGCAGGAGAGCGGUGUCCAGGAGCAGGCACCUCAGAUCCAUCCAAGUCACACAGGGAGGCCAGAAGGGCAGCGGGGACACUGAACGCUCUACACGUCCUGAGGUCCCUGACCUCAUAGGCUGGAGGGGAGCAUUUGCUUUGUCUUGUGGAAAGUCCCCAAGUGGAUGGGCUAACAAUCGAUUCCAGUUGCACCCACGCUGCUAACUCUGGCCAUGUUUCCUAUACUUCCGUUCCUGUGAUCCAUCUCUUGCCCCUUCCAGAUCAGACAGUGACCUCCCGGGCCUCCUGGGGAUGCAGUUGUCCUCCCUGCACUCAGAUCUGGAGCUGCUGCUUCCUAGCGGAGGAGUCAGCCUACCGAGCCAGGCCGUUGUCAAGCCCUGAGCCCUCCCCACUUCCGCCUCUGCCCGCUUUCCUGUCCCAGCUGUGAGCCUCUCCGGGGACUCAUUUAAACUGAAGACAAUUGCCUCAGAUAAAGAACAACUGGCCUCCUCCCUAUGUGGCUAAAAUUAUCAAAAACCGAAGAGGGCGUUGCUGACCUCAGCCUUCCCCAGCCUUUCUCCUGCCUUGGUCCACUUGAAUAUCCCUCUGGGAGCCUGUGACAGCUGCCUACGUGGGACCCCACACAGAAACGGGGCUGAAGAAGGCAGUCCCAGCCUCGCAAGGCAUUCAGUUCCUGCAGUGUCUGCAGCCAAAUCCCAAGAUAGAGCCAGUCUGCUUGGUUCCCUGGCCCCAGGUUUCUCAGAGCUCCUCCGGCAGCCCAGGAGGCUGAGCUGCACUGCCUGCAUUUCCUGGCUUCACAUCACGUACACAUAGAGCUUGGGGCCCGGGCAACCAUGGCAUGGAAGCCCAGACCACCUAAAUUCUUCCUUAGGACCACCAGUGCCAUUGCCUCAGCCAUAACCCCCUGAGACUCCUCGCGGACCAGCAUGGCGACUGGUCCCACAACCAUCUCCAUGCCUGCUUCCUCUUCCCCAUUCAAGCUUCUCAACAUCUGUCAUUCUUGGUGUUAGCUAUAUCCCAGCUCCUGUAUUAUUCCAUUGCAUCCAGAAUGCUUUGAGGAAGGAAUGUCAUAGACCCCCUUUUUUAACCCCCUCUUCCCAGAGAGAUGUGCUCAGGAAUAGGUGCCCAACAGGAAGUAUUUGAUUGAGAGCUUAUUUGUCCCUCCAGGAGAUAUUCAAGGAGAGCCCCCAUCCAGACCCCAAGCGAGAAGAGCUACCGUGUCUCACAGGGCCCACAGCCCAUCACCCACAUCAUCCCACGGAGGGCGGGGAUUAUGCCCAGUGUGCAGAAGGGUUGACAAAGGCCAGGUAGGGGAAGUGGCUGGCUCUGCUUACAUGGACCCAAGACUCACUCCAGAACCCCUGACCUUCCGCUGAAGGAUCUUUGCACCAACUCUCCUGGCCCCAGUGGGUCUGGCUCACCAGAAGUUAGGCCUGGAAGGGAGGAGGCUGGGUGGGGGGACAUAGAAGGCAAAAGCAGCAGUGUCCUCACAUGGAACUGUUCCUCCAGGUCCUUUCCCUGGGACCCCUCCCUGGAGAGCUCUCCCUGCUCUCUCUGGCUUCCUUUCCCUUCUGUCAACCCUAAUAGCAUAGGUUUUGGUGUCAGGCAGUCCUGCGUUGGAAUCUCAGAUUCCCAGGGACAGUCAUGAUUUAUACGUGUUGUCCCGGUAUACUAAUACAUCAAGGCUCCUUGUCACCCUCAAACAUGCGCAUUAGGACCAUGCAUCAUGUGUCCCGCUUACAAAGACAGAAGGCAAGGUCUGUGGACAGCUGGAGGAUGACCUAGUUAGGGAGCCUCUAGGAACCCAUCUAGUUCUGCGAUGGAGGGGAACAGAGAAUGGGGUGUUUCCCUGAUGACCCUGCUGUGGAGGAGCUGGCUGCUUCUGCAGGGAGAUGCUGCAGCCCCAGAAGGAAGCCCUGGCCAUGUGUCUCAAGUUGCUUUGCAAAACAAGCACCAGGAAAGAAAAACAGCAUCUAUAUUUCCCUGAGGUGGGCCAGCAUCCAGAGGCUGAAGGCACCUGGGGAUAGGGACACUACAUCACACACUUCAGGGGGUGCCAGUCAUGUCACGGUCUGUGUGAACGGUGCCUCCUGGGAAUGUACAGCUCCCAGCCUGCUCACUGCAAAGCAGGAAUUGGUGAGCUGUGACUAGAUGAUGUCAGAGAGCAAGAAUAAGUAAGGACCAGGAAAGCUACAAAAUAUAGAAGACUACAUCUUUUUUAAAUUAAUUAAUUAGUUAAUUUAUUUAUUUAUUUAUUAUGUUUUGAGACAGAGCCUUGCUCUGUUGCUCAGGCUGGAGUGCAGUGGUAUGAUCUCUGCUCACUGCAACCUCCAUCUACCAGGUUCAAGCAACUCUCCUGCCUCAGCCUCCUGAGUAGCUGGGAUUACAGGCGCUCAUCACCAUGCCCAGCUAAUUUUUGUAUUUUUAGUAGAGACAGGGUUUCACCAUGUUUGCCAGGCUGGUCUCAAACUCCUGACCUUGUGAUCCAUCUGCCUCAGCCUCCCAAAGUGCUGGGAUUACAGGCAUGAGCCACCAUGCCCAGCCGAAAGCCUACAUCUUUAAGGAGAGGAAUCAUUCUGUCUGGGGAGGAACUCCUUUAAAUCAGUUCAACUCAACUCAUAUGAACAAAUAUUGAUCAUGCAAUUACUGUGCGCUCUGCUGGGCAAGGCCAUUAUGGUGGGGGUGGCGGUGGGGUGAUCAGGCAUCCUGAUCAGGCAGGGGUGAUCAGGCAGGCGGUGGGGUGAUCAGGCAUUGAGAAGCUCAUAGGACAGGAGGGGAGUGCGCAGGGUCUGUCCCUUCCUCUCCCCAGGCAGA